AUCCAGCUGACAAUUCCCAAAUAGGACGAAACGUGCGUCCUGGAU
rnacentral:hammerhead_ribozyme from 1 species